rnacentral:rRNA from 1 species
CGGUGUUCAACUGGCGUGCCCGCGGGACGUCCUGCCGGUGAGCUCAGCCCGCGAGGGCGGCCCAACUUCAAAUCCCAUCGCGGUGCUCUUCACUGAGUGUCGAGGUGGGCCGGCACGUUUACUUUGAACAAAUUAGAGUGCUUAAAGCAGGCUAAAACUUCGCCUGAAUACUGUGUGCAUGGAAUAAUGGAAUAGGACCUCGGUUCUAUUUUGUUGGUUUUCGGAACCCCGAGGUAAUGAUUAAUAGGAACGGAUGGGGGCAUUCGUAUUGCGACGUUAGAGGUGAAAUUCUUGGAUCGUCGCAAGACGGACAGAAGCGAAAGCAUUUGCCAAAAACGCUUUCAUUGAUCAAGAACGAAAGUUAGAGGUUCGAAGGCGAUCAGAUACCGCCCUAGUUCUAACCAUAAACGAUGCCAGCUAGCGAUCCGUCGACGUUCCUCCGAUGACUCGACGGGCAGCUUCCGGGAAACCAAAGCUUUUGGGUUCCGGGGGAAGUAUGGUUGCAAAGCUGAAACUUAAAGGAAUUGACGGAAGGGCACCACCAGGAGUGGAGCCUGCGGCUUAAUUUGACUCAACACGGGAAACCUCACCAGGCCCGGGACACCGGAAGGAUUGACAGAUUGAGAGCUCUUUCUUGAUUCGGUGGGUGGUGGUGCAUGGCCGUUCUUAGUUGGUGGAGCGAUUUGUCUGGUUAAUUCCGAUAACGAACGAGACUCUAGCCUGCUAACUAGGCGUAUUUUCGACAUCUCAAAGGUCCGUCGUCCCGGCCCUCGGGUCGUGGGCGUGCGCGAUUUUUACUGUCGGCGUACUAUCAAUUCUUCUUAGAGGGACAGGUGGCUUCUAGCCGCACGAGAUUGAGCAAUAACAGGUCUGUGAUG